rnacentral:rRNA from 1 species
CCUACGGGUGGCAGCAGUGAGGAAUAUUGGUCAAUGGGCGAGAGCCUGAACCAGCCAAGUCGCGUGAGGGAAGACGGUCCUACGGAUUGUAAACCUCUUUUGUCAGGGAACAAGGAGCGCCACGAGUGGUGCGGCGAGAGUACCUGAAGAAAAAGCAUCGGCUAACUCCGUGCCAGCAGCCGCGGUAAUACGUAGGUGGCAAGCGUUAUCCGGAUUUACUGGGUGUAAAGGGCGUGUAGGCGGGACUGCAAGUCAGAUGUGAAAACCACGGGCUCAACCUGUGGCCUGCAUUUGAAACUGUAGUUCUUGAGUACUGGAGAGGCAGACGGAAUUCCUAGUGUAGCGGUGAAAUGCGUAGAUAUUAGGAGGAACACCAGUGGCGAAGGCGGUCUGCUGGACAGCAACUGACGCUGAGGCGCGAAAGCGUGGGGAGCAAACAGGAUUAGAUACCCUAGUAGUC